rnacentral:tRNA from 1 species
AUCUAAGUAGUUUAAAUUAAAAUUUUGAUUUGUGGAGUCAAAGAUAUACUGAUAUAUUUUAGAUA